CUUCCACAACAUCUUCCAGUUCUACAUCUACAGUUCCUUUACACAUGGUCACUUCCACAAUAUCUAGCAGUCCCACUUCUACAGUUCCUUCACAACUGGUCACUUCCACAACAUCUACCAGUUCUACAUCUACAG